rnacentral:rRNA from 1 species
UGAGGAAUAUUGGUCAAUGGACGGAAGUCUGAACCAGCCAAGUAGCGUGCAGGAUGACGGCCCUAUGGGUUGUAAACUGCUUUUGUAUGGGGAUAAAGUUAGGGACGUGUCCCUAUUUGCAGGUACCAUACGAAUAAGGGCCGGCUAAUUCCGUGCCAGCAGCCGCGGUAAUACGGAAGGUCCAGGCGUUAUCCGGAUUUAUUGGGUUUAAAGGGAGCGUAGGCUGGAGAUUAAGUGUGUUGUGAAAUGUAGACGCUCAACGUCUGAAUUGCAGCGCAUACUGGUUUCCUUGAGUACGCAUAACGUUGGCGGAAUUCGUCGUGUAGCGGUGAAAUGCUUAGAUAUGACGAAGAACUCCGAUUGCGAAGGCAGCUGACGGGAGCGCAACUGACGCUUAAGCUCGAAGGUGCGGGUAUCAAACAGGAUUAGAUACCCUGGUAGUCCGCACAGUAAACGAUGGAUGCCCGCUGUUGGUACCUGGUAUCAGCGGCUAAGCGAAAGCAUUAAGCAUCCCACCUGGGGAGUACGCCGGCAACGGUG